rnacentral:rRNA from 1 species
GGCGUUAAGUUGCAGGGUAUAGACCCGAAACCCGGUGAUCUAGCCAUGGGCAGGUUGAAGGUUGGGUAACACUAACUGGAGGACCGAACCGACUAAUGUUGAAAAAUUAGCGGAUGACCUGUGGCUGGGGGUGAAAGGCCAAUCAAACCGGGAGAUAGCUGGUUCUCCCCGAAAGCUAUUUAGGUAGCGCCUCGUGAACUCAUCUUCGGGGGUAGAGCACUGUUUCGGCUAGGGGGCCAUCCCGGCUUACCAACCCGAUGCAAACUACGAAUACCGAAGAAUGUUAUCACGGGAGACACACGGCGGGUGCUAACGUCCGUCGUGAAGAGGGAAACAACCCAGACCGCCAGCUAAGGUCCCAAAGUCAUGGUUAAGUGGGAAACGAUGUGGGAAGGCACAGACAGCCAGGAUGUUGGCUUAGAAGCAGCCAUCAUUUAAAGAAAGCGUAAUAGCUCACUGGUCGAGUCGGCCUGCGCGGAAGAUGUAACGGGGCUAAACCAUG